UACGAAGGGGGCUAGCGUUGCUCGGAAUCACUGGGCGUAAAGCGCACGUAGGCGGAUUCCUAAGUCGGGGGUGAAAUCCUGGAGCUUAACUCCAGAACUGCCUUCGAUACUGGGAAUCUUGAGUCCGGAAGAGGUGAGUGGAACUGCGAGUGUAGAGGUGAAAUUCGUAGAUAUUCGCAAGAACACCAGUGGCGAAGGCGGCUCACUGGCCCGGUACUGACGCUGAGGUGCGAAAGCGUGGGGAGCAAACAGG
rnacentral:rRNA from 1 species